UCUCCGUAGGUGAACCUGCGGAGGGAUCACUAUAGGCUUGUAAAAGCUCUAAAACCACUGUUUAUCUACCUGAAUCUGCUUCGGCGGGCGCCUUGCGGCUACUUCCCCGCCCUGGGGCCGCCCGCCGAAGACCCCUAAACUCUGUCGUCUUGAGAAUCUCUGAGUAAUUAUAUUAAACAAAAACAACUUUCAACAACGGAUCUCUUGGCUCUG
rnacentral:misc_RNA from 1 species